rnacentral:rRNA from 1 species
AUUGAACGCUGGCGGCAGGCCUAACACAUGCAAGUCGAACGGUAACAGGAAGCAGCUUGCUGCUUCGCUGACGAGUGGCGGACGGGUGAGUAAUGUCUGGGAAGCUGCCUGAUGGAGGGGGAUAACUACUGGAAACGGUAGCUAAUACCGCAUAAUGUCGCAAGACCAAAGAGGGGGACCUUCGGGCCUCUUGCCAUCGGAUGUGCCCAGAUGGGAUUAGCUUGUUGGUGGGGUAACGGCUCACCAAGGCGACGAUCCCUAGCUGGUCUGAGAGGAUGACCAGCCACACUGGAACUGAGACACGGUCCAGACUCCUACGGGAGGCAGCAGUGGGGAAUGUUGCACAAUGGGCGCAAGCCUGAUGCAGCCAUGCCGCGUGUAUGAAGAAGGCCUUCGGGUUGUAAAGUACUUUCAGCGGGGAGGAAGGGAGUAAAGUUAAUACCUUUGCUCAUUGACGUUACCCGCAGAAGAAGCACCGGCUAACUCCGUG